rnacentral:rRNA from 1 species
UGAAGCUGGAUUCGCUAGUAAUCGCGCAUCAGCCAUGGCGCGGUGAAUACGUUCCCGGGCCUUGUACACACCGCCCGUCAAGCCAUGAAAGCCGGGGGUACCUGAAGUACGUAACCGCAAGGAUCGUCCUAGGGUAAAACUGGUAAUUGGGGCUAAGUCGUAACAAGGUAUC